UCCCAUUCUUCGGAAGUAAGAUCCCUGAGAGACGAUCAGGUAGAUAGGUUAGAGGUGGAAGCAUGGUGACAUGUGGAGCUGACUAAUACUAAUCGAUCGAGGACUUAACCUAA
rnacentral:rRNA from 1 species